CCCUCCCCACUUUCACUUGGCCUUCGGGGAAUAAACUAUCGAAUGACUAGGAAAGGGACACACUUUCUUUUUCUAAUUCUCUUUAUUCUUUGGAGUUUUGCUGUGGUUUGUUUGUUUCUGCCGAACCCAAGAUCCCAAGUCCAAGGAAAUGUUUUUAAUACACGAAGAUUUUUUUAAAAAUGAAUUUCUGAUGAGUUAAGAGGCCAAUACAAAAUAAUAUAUUGCAGCCUCACAAAAUCAAACUCCUAGGGAACUCGCACUACUUUAGUUAAAUCCCAAGGAAUCGCCGUUGGAAUUCAGACAGUUCCUGUCCCGAAUGACCCCUUUCCUGCACCGCAGAGAAACACCGGCCCCUGACCGAUUUUGUUUUUUGUUUUUGUUUUAAUGGAGAACGUGUUUAAAAGUUGUCACCGUCCUACCUUUCUACACGCACACACACACACACACACACGCACGCACGCACACGCACACAUCUUUCCCCCGCGUAUUCCUGUUCUUUCUUCGCCUGUACUUCUCAAUUUUGCUGGAAACGGAAAGGCUAGCUGAAGUGCAAAAUAAACCGCCAACGUCUUUGACACUGAUCUUACUCUGGUGCUUCACGUCAAAUGCAAGAACCAUCCCCACCCCCACCGCGCGUCAUGCCUUCUCCAACCCUCCGCUUUGGGGACACUUCGGACCCGGACUGGAGCCCCGGGACUUCAGGGAACAGCGCUCCUAGGGCAAGGCAGAGGCAGCCUGAGUCUUCACGCCAGUGAAGUGAUGCCUCAGUCGGGUUGUGUCUGCAGAAUUGCUGCGGCUAUUGUGUCAACUGAGGGCAAAGAAGGAAAAAUAGAAGCAAAGAAAACCAUCUCAAAAGUCUUAUCUUUGCUGCUGUUAAAAGGCUGCUGUUCAUUUCUGAUUUCCUCCUCUUUCACGACAAAGGAAAAAGGAAUCGAAUAAUGUGUCUACAUUUGAAGAGAAGAAAACACUACCACAGGGAAGGUGCAUUUGUUUUAUUUUCUUUUUACCUGAAAAAAAAAAUUUUAAUACACACCAAUUUAGUGAGUUGAAAGCUGUGAACAUGUAAAAGAUGCUCACUUGUCCAUGUCUAUUUGCUGACUUUUGCCACUUGAAUUUGGUAGGCUUUUGUUUCAAAUAGAAAUUAUGGAAAGUGAAUUAGACACUUGCCAAGGAACAAUAUUACACUUUGAAGCAGACUCCACCUAAUUGUGUAUUUGAGUGCUGGCUCUGUGUGUGUGUGUGUGUGUGUGUGUAUGUGUGCGUGUGUGUGUGUGUGUGUGCACGUGCACUAUUUGCCCCUAAUAAACCUCAAAGCCCUAAUUAGACAUAGAGAGAGUGGGGGUGAGAACCCUAUUACUGGGCAUUCUGACAAAAAUGGAAGCAGUGCCCCUCU